CUGCAGCCCGAGUGGUGACCGAUAUUAUUGAGCCUAAAGCGUCCGUAGCCGGUCUGGUAAAUUCUUGGGUAAAUCGGGCAGCUUAACUGUCCGACUUCCGAGGAGACUGCCAGACUUGGGACCGGGAGAGGUCAGAGGUACUCCAGGGGUAGGGGCUAAAUCCUGUAAUCCUUGGGGGACCACCAGUGGCGAAGGCGUCUGACUAGAACGGAUCCGACGGUAAGGGACGAAACCCUGGGGCGCGAACCGGAUUAGAUACCCGAGUAGUCC
rnacentral:rRNA from 1 species